rnacentral:rRNA from 1 species
UACGUAGGGUGCGAGCGUUAAUCGGAAUUACUGGGCGUAAAGCGUGCGCAGGCGGUUAUAUAAGACAGAUGUGAAAUCCCCGGGCUCAACCUGGGAACUGCAUUUAGUGACUGUCAAGGCUAGGAGUACGGCAGAGGGGGAGUGGAAUUCCACGUGUAGCAGUGAAAUGCGUAGAGAUGUGGAGGAACACCGAUGGCGAAGGCAGCCCCU